GUAGGUGGCAAGCGUUGUCCGGAAUUAUUGGGCGUAAAGCGCGCGCAGGCGGUUCUUUAAGUCUGAUGUGAAAGCCCACGGCUCAACCGUGGAGGGUCAUUGGAAACUGGAGAACUUGAGUACAGAAGAGGAAAGCGGAAUUCCACGUGUAGCGGUGAAAUGCGUAGAGAUGUGGAGGAACACCAGUGGCGAAGGCGGCUUUUCUGGUCUGUAACUGACGCUGAGGCGCGAAAGCGUGGGGAGCAAACAGGGAUUAGAUACCCUGGUAGUCCACGCCGUAAACGAUGAGUGCUAAGUGUUAGGGGGGUUUCCGCCCCCUUAGUGCUGCAGCUAACGCAUUAAGCACUCCGCCUGGGGAUACGGCCGCGAAGGCUG
rnacentral:rRNA from 1 species